UACGUAGGUGGCGAGCGUUAUCCGGAAUUAUUGGGCGUAAAGGGUGCGUAGGCGGCACAUUAAGUCUAAGGUUAAAGUUCGAGGCUCAACUUCGGAUUGCCUUAGAAACUGGUGAGCUAGAGUGCAGGAGAGGGCAAUGGAAUUCCAUGUGUAGCGGUAAAAUGCGUAGAUAUAUGGAGGAACACCAGUGGCGAAGGCGGUUGCCUGGCCUGUAACUGACGCUGAGGCACGAAAGCGUGGGGAGC
rnacentral:rRNA from 1 species